rnacentral:rRNA from 1 species
UACGUAGGGGGCAAGCGUUGUCCGGAAUCAUUGGGCGUAAAGCGCGUGUAGGCGGCUCGAUAAGUCUGCUGUGAAAGUCCAGGGCUCAACCCUGGGAUGCCGGUGGAUACUGUCGAGCUCGAGUCCGGAAGAGGCGAGUGGAAUUCCUGGUGUAGCGGUGGAAUGCGCAGAUAUCAGGAGGAACAUCCGUGGCGAAGGCGGCUCUCUGGGACGGUACUGACGCUGAGACGCGAAAGCGUGGGGAGCGAACAGG